rnacentral:lncRNA from 1 species
GGAAAAGAAUUAACAAGUAAAUAAGUAAAUUAUCAAAUGAGCCAAAAUAAAAGAGUGCAAGGAUAAACCCACUACUCAGUUCAUGAAUAAAACAACCAAAAAGAUGACCAGGUAAGUAACAGACAAUAUUUACCAAAAGGAACAGAGGAGGCUGGUUCAAAAGAAGCAUCAAAAGCAAGUAUCACCAAAAAUAUUUCCAUCUCUCAAUGAAUAAGUGACUAAACCCAAAGAAACUUUUCAUAUCUAAUGGUAAUGUGUAUAUCAUUAAUAUACAGCAAAAACAGAUUAGGAAAGUGAACUUCCAAUCCAUGUAUACCAUAAAAAACAUGUAGUAUGAAAGGAUAAAGAUUGUUAAAGAAAGCAAUAAAAGCGAAUCUCUGUCCAAAUUCAAUUGCUGACUAUUUCAUGCUCGUACGUUUAGCCACUCUCCUCUCUAUAUUCAGCUUUCCACAAAAAGAUUGAUUAUGAAAUCCAUAUAAAUAUUCCUUCGUAUAUUCCAAUACCAGAUCAAGGGUUGGGAUUCUUACUUUUUCUACAUUAUCAGAGUUUCUCUUUAUUCUUUCACUAAGCAUCACAGUUUCAUAUUUUAUAGGAAUUUCUCCCGAAAGUUAUCUCUAAAAACAAAAUGACAUCAAGAACCGAACAAAUGUCCAGUUCACAAAUUUCCACAUGGGGUCAAACAAUAUGUAAUACAGAACAGGAUAAAUAAGCUCCAAAAGUAUAGGCAGCACUUGCUGCUGCUAAGAAAGGCUAUUGCAUGCUUCUAACACCUCAAGAUUGUUAUUCAGGAAAAAAGCAUACAAAUGUUAUUCUCAGAACUACCAGUGUAAAGGGCUUCGUCCAUCACUAUCAGGUACAUCAGGAUCAGCAUUCCACUUUGUAACAAUGUAAUAGAGGAAAGCUGUCUGACCAUAUUGUGCGGCAACAUGCGUCGCCUGCAGUUGAAUUCAUUGCAUGAGUAAUAGGCAAAUUUAGAUACUAAGAUCUUAGUCAAUUUGUAGUUAUUAAGUACAAGAGCUGUGGGAGGACAACGAGGAAUUAUAGUGGAAAAAGAAUAUCAAUAAAAACAGGGUGCGCUUUCAAACACUUCGACAGUAAGAUUAUUUACUGAUGAAGUGCUUCAGAAAAAAAAAAGAGAAAGAAAAAAGGGAAUGAGGUAAAAUGGUGUAAAAGUGUUGCAGUUGAUAUAACUUGUAAGAUGUGGUCCAUCUACGUUCAUCUUUGAAGUCUGCCCCUAUCCACGUAAGAAGUGAUAGAAGUCCUUAAUAAGAUUACAAAAAUAUCAUUAAUAAUUCCUAUGUUCCACAACUUUGUCCUACUUUCUUUCUAGGCUGGACCUGAUUGUUGUUAACUCUCCUUAAACGGAAAGCUCAAACACAUUACUCCCAGGACUUUGGUUCAGCAGUGACAAUGCAGCACAUGAUGUGUUGGUCAGGCACACUUCACGGGUUCCAACCCUGUCGUAGACAAAGCCUGUUAUUUAAGUUGGAAAAUGGUGGAAGACGGGGCAAUCUCCCUGAAGUUUCAAACAUGCGCGCCAACUGGAGUCUUGCGACUCUUGCCAGAAGCCCAAUGAGAGUUUUUCCGAGAAAAAUCCCACAAAAGUCUUCAAGGCCCCAAUUCUGCUAGUCUCUGUUCAGCUUUAUCCUUUUUUUACUCUUUCCCCAGACAACUCCAUAUAUGUCUGAGUAUGUUCCAAAACAAUAUUAAAUAACUCACAAUUGUAACUCUUCUUAAUACUCAGGUCAAAUCAAAGUGGACCGGCAUAUGUAGUAGAAAAUUUAUGGUUCACAUGUAUGUCUUCUAAAGCCAUUGAACUAAUAUAUCCAUUGAUAGAAAUUUUCUGUAAGGACCUUUCGGGCACUGUCUUAUAUAUCCAUCCAACUUCCACUACAAAGAGCUAAAAAUUGCAAAAGUGAUGGGCUAAGUGCUUGCAAUGUACUUUGAGCUACAACUCGUAAUGGUGGCUAAGGGACAUGGAACAAAAACCUAUACUAAAGUACUACAGUAGGGAUAAUGUUGUUAAAGACGCGCUUGAGGCAUGCUUAAUCCUUGAAGUAGGUAAAACAGAAGGGUGUUUUCCCUAACUUGGGAAUGCUUCACCAAGGUACUAAGUUGAAUGUCUUAACGAAAACAUCCAUCAAAGCUUCCUUGAUCAAAAAAAAAAUAACAACCAAAGUCUUUUUUUUAAAAAGUAAAAAAGGUGAAUCUCAAGGUCCAUGAGCUCUAUAAGGUGGCACUAAACAGCAAAGCAAUAAAUUAUUUGUUAAGAAACCUUAGGGACAUAUAUGUUGGUGAUUAAAGACAUAAACAAAAUCUUAAUAUAAGAAAACUAGUUUUUCUAAUGAGUAAUACAAGAAAGUAUAUCUCAGUAGAGACUUAAAACUUAUAUCUUUACACACAAAUUUAAAAUUUAGUAUGCCUUCUUAUCUUGAUUAAAAAAGUUUUUGCUUCAUUAUCUUUCACUUAAUGGCAGGCUUCACAAGAAGAGAGCUCAAGUUAUCAGCUGCCUUACUUUGGUGUCAGAGCCUCAACCAAUGUAGAAUAGCCUCGGGACAGUUUAGUGACAAUAGUCCAGUUUUAUGCAAAACUUUGCAAUGGUUCAAAAACUUGAACUUGGAAGCACUCUAGUUCUAAUAUCUAUAACUUACCUAUCAUGGGAGAUUGAGUACCCUUAAUAAGAUUCAGAAUGAGAGAUUGUACAAAGAUGUUAGAGCAAAAAUGCAUCGUAGUAUUUACGAAAACUUGAUCUUUGGGUUCGCAUUUUUUAAUUCCAUCUGGAGAAUGAUUAGUGCUCAAAUCACACAAGGCAUAGCUCUUGGGAAGCUAAUGUGUUUGCUGGAUAAUUAAUGAGCUUGCUGCAGUAGCCACGGUCUACUUAUUUUGAAUGACGGCAAACACACAAAAUUAGCCAGUUAUAUAGAUAUAUAUAGGAAGAACUGGGAGUACUAUACUUGUUGCAGCAGGACUUUUCCUGACUUAUCAGGACUCUGUUUCUGCUGUAGAAUAACCUUUAUGUUUGAUAGUGGUUUGUGUGGCUAUUAGCUGACUCGUUCUACUGUGAAACUUGUAAGAUUUCUUUGAUGAAUAGAACUUCCUCUAUUCGUCAAGAUUCCAGCAAAAUUACUGCGACUCUGUCCUUUUUUUGACAAGUAAACGCGUUCUGAUGUUAUCAAACCAUGUUUUUUCAAGCUUGCACAAUCCCUAAAUAUUGCAAACUGUUUACGUUGGAGCUUCCAUGAUAGCCAUUCUUUACUCUGCUUAUCUUCUUCCAACUACCUUGCCAGCUUCCAAUUCUUGUUUCCAUUGUUAUAUUUGUGACGUUCUCAAUUUAUAUAUAUAGCAUAGCAAUCAUCAUAAAAUCGACAGUUCCUUAUUAUAGCACAAUAGAUAGACACUAACUAGUCAAUACUCCUGCUCACCACCUCUUUCAAGAAAAUAGGAAAAUUAAAAUCCACAAAAUUGCUAAACAACAUAACAUGGUCGGACAAGUGCAUGCAAACACCCAAUAUGGAUUAUGAAUUUUUUUCCAAACUACUAAGGAAAAGUUACAAUAUUACCAAAUUCCUGUGUUAGAAUUACGUAGACCUGAUAGGGCGAUAUGGAUUCAUAUAGCUGAUACAAUUAGUUUGGGAUUGAGGGCAGUUGAAUGAUUGAUUAAUACUUGAUUAAAACAACGAGUUCUACUGUGUAAUAACUUAAUAGAUAUAUAUAUAUAUAUGUAUGCCCAAAAAUCAUUCUAUCACGCCACUGGAUCUACAAAUAGGAAGAACUGGGAGUACUAUACUUCUUGCAGCAGGACUUUUCCUGACUUAUCAGGAUUCUGUUUCUGCUGCAGAAUAACCUUUAUGUUUGAUAGUGGUUUGUGUGGCUAUUAUCUGAUUCUUUCUAGUGUGAAACUUGUAGGAUUUCUUUGAUGAAUAGAACUUCCUCUAUUCGUCAAGAUUCCAGCAAAAUUACUGCGACUCUGACCUUCUGUUCAUAAGUAAAUACGUUCUGAUGUUAUCAAACCAUGUUUCUUCAAACUUGCACAAUCCCGAAAUAUUGUAAACUGUUUACGUUGGAGCUUCCACGAUAACCAUUCUUUACUCUGCUUAUCAUCUUCCAACUACCUUGCCAGCUUCCAAUUCUUGUUUCCAUUGUUAUAUUUGUGACGUUCUCAACCUUUGACGACUACCCUCAUUGCCAUGUCAACUUUUUUGCACUCUGAAUUGAUACACGAAUUGCGCAUAGGUCUAAGUCACCAUAACUUGUAUGAUUAACCUAGUUAACGAUCCACAUUAAAUGCCACUUUAUAAGAGCUCGUAAAACACCUUCGCCAAUAAAAUGUAGGAGAAAAAGGGAUCAUAGUCAACCCUGUUCACUUAGAGAGACAGUCGUUGCACCAAAGCCAAUGCCAGGAAAGCUGUAGUACAUAUCAUGGAUUGGGUGGUCUCACUGUGUCCAAGGCUUGAUCCAACGCCAUAAUAUCAGGUGUACAGGUCUAA